CCUGCACCCUCAUCUCAGCAGGAACAGGUGAACUUCCUGCUGAAGAAUCUGGCUCCAGGCCAACUGCAUCCCCUGUGGCGUGACCACAGGCACUAGGAAGGUGUGUCUGGCGGGCUCAUGAGGGAGGAGUUGGAGGAAAAUAGAAACAAAUGGAGUAGUCCCUUUGGACCAGAAAUAGAAGGCUUGUAUGGAGUCGACAGAUUCAAUCCACCUCAAUAGCUGGAUUCCUGCAUGACCACGUGGAGCAGAGCCACUGACUUUCCCUGGACACCACCAAUUACUGGAGAGAAACAAACUUCUGUCUUAUAGGUCAUGAGAGCCCCUGCGUCAGUGGCCCUGUUGUGAGCGUGACAUCAGCGAGCACCGAGAACCCACCGCUGACACGCAGGGAGUGGCCCGUCGGUGUGAGCUGUGAUCAUUUCCGACAGUGGCUACAGAGAAGUUAAAAAGAAUUCAGGAAGGCGUGGGAAAUAACAGAAGUCAUGGUUAGGUCCCGUCGAGCCUCUGCCAACAUGUGAGAGGAGAGACAGUCUGACAAAAGCAUCCAACGUCAUCCAACUUUGAUGGGAACUUUCUACUAACAAAU